UUGACCUCGAAUCAGGUAGGGAUACCCGCUGAACUUAAGCAUAUCAAUAAGCGGAGGAAAAGAAACCAACAGGGAUUACCUCAGUAACGGCGAGUGAAGCGGUAACAGCUCAAAUUUGAAAUCUGGCUCCUUCGGAGUCCGAGUUGUAAUUUGUAGAAGAUGCUUUGGGCUGUGGGCCCGGCCUAAGUUCCUUGGAACAGGACGUCAUAGAGGGUGAGAAUCCCGUAUGCGGCCGGGGCCUGCGCUCGUGUAAAGCACUUUCGACGAGUCGAGUUGUUUGGGAAUGCAGCUCAAAAUGGGUGGUAAAUUUCAUCUAAAGCUAAAUAUUGGCCAGAGACCGAUAGCGCACAAGUAGAGUGAUCGAAAGAUGAAAAGCACUUUGGAAAGAGAGUUAAACAGUACGUGAAAUUGUUGAAAGGGAAGCGCUUGCAACCAGACUUGGGCGCCGGUGAUCAUCUUGGAGUUCUCUCCGGUGCACUCGGCGGCGCACAGGCCAGCAUCGGUUUGGGUGGUUGGAGAAAGGCCGCUGGGAACGUAGCUCCUCGCGGGGAGUGUUAUAGCCCGCGACGCAAUGCAGCCUACCCGGACCGAGGACCGCGCUUCGGCUAGGAUGCUGGCGUAAUGGUUGUAAGCGACCCGUCUUGAAACACGGACCAAGGAGUCUAACAUCUAUGCGAGUGUUUGGGCGUCAAACCCAUACGCGGAAUGAAAGUGAACGUAGGUGAGAACCCGCUCAGGGCGCAUCAUCGACCGAUCCUGAUGUCUUCGGACGGAUUUGAGUAAGAGCAUAGCUGUUGGGACCAA
rnacentral:rRNA from 1 species